AUGAAUUAUCCGUUCUUUGAAAUGGAACAUGUUUUCAUGGAGGUGGAAGAUUUCAUCUGUUGUACAGGAACUCCAUGAAAAAUAUUGUUAUAGUUCAAAAAAUUGUUUGAAAUUGAAAUUCCUAUCAAAUAUGUAAUAUUUCAGGCAGUUAAUUCAUUCUGGUGCUCUGAUGAUUACAAUCGGACAUUUGAGACAAAAUAUAAGGGAAGCUGGGGCAAGACGGCGAGGACCUUUUUCUUCUCAGUCAGGUGCUGUACUCUAUUGGCAACAAUCGUAACUAUCUUGAAGAAGGGCAAGACGGCAAGACUGCAAACAUAGCGGCAGCCAUCUUCAGUCACGCGUUUAUUGCUAGUCAAUUAAAACGUAUUUCUGCAGACCCUUGUAAUAUUGGUGUUUUUAAAGUUGUGACAGAAAAUGGUACGUAAUUACCAGAUAAAAACGCUCAUGUGCUGGUGACGAAAAUGAUGAAGACGAGGGACAUGAUAUUUGCGCAUUUUGUAAAUAAAAUUUUUGAACCAAUAUCAAAUUAUAUGUGUAAAAUUACAAAAUUGGAUUUUGAAAAACUUU